AGGUAAGCUACUAAGAGCGAAUGGUGGAUGCCUUGACUGGUAAAGGCGAUGAAGGACGUACUAGACUGCGAUAAGCUACGGGGAGCUGUCAAGAAGCUUUGAUCCGUAGAUUUCCGAAUGGGGCAACCCAAUGUAUAGAGAUAUACAUUACCUAUAUAGGAGCGAACGAGGGGAAUUGAAACAUCUUAGUACCCUCAGGAAAAGAAAUCAAUAGAGAUUGCGUCAGUAGCGGUGAGCGAAAGCGCAAGAGGGCAAACCCAGUGCUUGCACUGGGGGUUGUAGGACUGCAAUGUGCAAGAGGUGAGUUUAGCAGAACAUUCUGGAAAGUAUAGCCAUAGAGGGUGAUAGUCCCGUAUGCGAAAAACAAACCUUAGCUAGCAGUAUCCUGAGUAGGGCGGGACACGAGAAAUCCUGUCUGAAGCUGGGUCGACCACGAUCCAACCCUAAAUACUAAUACCAGAUCGAUAGUGCACAAGUACCGUGAGGGAAAGGUGAAAAGAACUGAGGUGAUCAGAGUGAAAUAGAACCUGAAACCAUUUGCUUACAAUCAUUCAGAGCCCUAUGUAGCAAUACAGGGUGAUGGACUGCCUUUUGCAUAAUGAGCCUGCGAGUUGUGGUGUCUGGCAAGGUUAAGCAAACGCGAAGCCGUAGCGAAAGCGAGUCUGAAUAGGGCGCUUAGUCAGAUGCUGCAGACCCGAAACGAAGUGAUCUAUCCAUGAGCAAGUUGAAGCUAGUGUAAGAACUAGUGGAGGACUGAACCCAUAGGCGUUGAAAAGCCCCGGGAUGACUUGUGGAUAGGGGUGAAAGGCCAAUCAAACUUCGUGAUAGCUGGUUCUCUCCGAAAUAUAUUUAGGUAUAGCGUUGUGUCGUAAUAUAAGGGGGUAGAGCACUGAAUGGGCUAGGGCAUACACCAAUGUACCAAACCCUAUCAAACUCCGAAUACCUUAUAUGUAAUCACAGCAGUCAGGCGGCGAGUGAUAAAAUCCGUCGUCAAGAGGGAAACAACCCAGACUACCAGCUAAGGUCCCUAAAUCUUACUUAAGUGGAAAACGAUGUGAAGUUACUUAAACAACCAGGAGGUUGGCUUAGAAGCAGCCAUCCUUUAAAGAAAGCGUAAUAGCUCACUGGUCUAGUGAUUUUGCGCGGAAAAUAUAACGGGGCUAAAGUAAGUACCGAAGCUGUAGACUUGCGCACAACUUAGAUUAUUUAAGUUUAGAAUAUGAGAAACUAAGUUAUAUGUUUAGUUAUAUUUUUACUGAUUUUUAUAGAGUAAAGAUAGAAAUAAAACUUAGUAAAAUCAGUAAAAAUAUUCUUAGACUAAAGUUAAGUAGUUUAAGUUGUGUGCAAGUGGUAGGAGAGCGUUCUAUUUGCGUCGAAGGUAUACCGGUAAGGAGUGCUGGAGCGAAUAGAAGUGAGCAUGCAGGCAUGAGUAGCGAUAAUUAAUGUGAGAAUCAUUAACGCCGUAAACCCAAGGUUUCCUACGCGAUGCUCGUCAUCGUAGGGUUAGUCGGGUCCUAAGUCGAGUCCGAAAGGGGUAGACGAUGGCAAAUUGGUUAAUAUUCCAAUACCAACAUUAGUGUGCGAUGGAAGGACGCUUAGGGCUAAGGGGGCUAGCGGAUGGAAGUGCUAGUCUAAGGUCGUAGGAGGUUAUACAGGCAAAUCCGUAUAACAAUACUCCGAGAACUGAAAGGCUUUUUGAAGUCUUCGGAUGGAUAGAAGAACCCCUGAUGCCGUCGAGCCAAGAAAAGUUUCUAAGUUUAGCUAAUGUUGCCCGUACCGUAAACCGACACAGGUGGGUGGGAUGAGUAUUCUAAGGCGCGUGGAAGAACUCUCUUUAAGGAACUCUGCAAAAUAGCACCGUA
rnacentral:rRNA from 1 species